CGAUGGCUCCCAGGACCAUCCCCACUAUCAUCAGGGCCCGCACAGCUUGGAGCAUAGCUGCAGGUCAAACCAAAACACACAGUCAGAUAGACUAGUCUACAGGUCAAACCAAAACACACAGUCAGAUAUACUAGUCUACAGGUCAAACCAAAACACACAGUCAGAUAGACUAGUCUACAGGUCAAACUAAAACACACAGUCAGAUAGACUAGUCUACAGGUCAAACCAAAACACACAGUCAGAUAGACUAGUCUACAGGUCAAACCAAAACACACAGUCAGAUAGACUAGUCUACAGGUCAAACUAAAACACACAGUCAGAUAGACUAGUCUACAGGUCAAACCAAAACACACAGUCAGAUAGACUAGUCUACAGGUCAAACCAAAACACACAGUCAGAUAGACUAGUCUACAGGUCAAACUAAAACACACAGUCAGAUAGACUAGUCUACAGGUCAAACCAAAACACACAGUCAGAUAGACUAGUCUACAGGUCAAACUAAAACACACAGUCAGAUAGACUAGUCUACAGGUCAAACCAAAACACACAGUCAGAUAGACUAGUCUACAGGUCAAACCAAAACACACAGUCAGAUAGACUAGUCUACAGGUCAAACCAAAACACACAGUCAGAUAGACUAGUCUACAGGUCAAACCAAAACACACAGUCAGAUAGACUAGUCUACAGGUCAAACCAAAACACACAGUCAGAUAGACUAGUCUACAGGUCAAACUAAAACACACAGUCAGAUAGACUAGUCUACAGGUCAAACCAAAACACACAGUCAGAUAGACUAGUCUACAGGUCAAACCAAAACACACAGUCAGAUAGACUAGUCUACAGGUCAAACUAAAACACACAGUCAGAUAGACUAGUCUACAGGUCAAACUAAAACACACAGUCAGAUAGACUAGUCUACAGGUCAAACCAAAACACACAGUCGGAUAGACUAGUCUACAGGUCAAACCAAAACACUCAGUCAGAUCUACUUGUCUUUAUUUGGUACUUAGGUGACCUGUUAUUGUGUGUAUCCUAUAAGUACUGCUUUCCUUUGUUGUGUGGGGGGCAGGGUCUACUAAGCUAACAUUUGGAAUUGUUUUAAAAAGGUCAUACCAUGGCUCAUUUAGCUCUUUUAGGACCCCUUACGUCCCCUGUAGG